rnacentral:rRNA from 1 species
AGCUCUGUAAGCGUAUACCCAAGUUGUUGCAGUUAAAACGCUCGUAGUCGGAGGUUGGCAGGCAAGCCCGGGGCAUCUUCGCAGACGGACCUGGGUCGGCCACCUUUGUAGAGGGGGACGCAGUGCCACUUGAGUGCGGUGUCAUUGUCACUGCCACCGUUUACUGUGAAAAAAUUAGAGUGUUCAAAGCGGGCGUUUGCCAUGAAUACCUUAGCAUGGAAUAAUAGAAUAGGACCUGUGUUCUGUUUUGUUGGUUUGUGAGGACCGGGUAAUGAUUAAGAGGGACGGUUGGGAGCAUUUGUAUUCCGGCAUCAGAGGUGAAAUUCUUGGAUUGUCGGAAGACAAACGGCUGCGAAAGCGUCUGCCAAGGACGUUUUCA